rnacentral:rRNA from 1 species
GGCUACCAUGCAGGUCGAGGGGCAGCAUUUUAGUUUGCUUGCAAACUAAAGAUGGCGACCGGCGCACGGGUGAGUAACACGCUAUCCAACCUGCCGAUAACUCGGGGAUAGCCUUUCGAAAGAAAGAUUAAUAUCCGAUAGUAUAUUAAAACCGCAUGGUUUUACUAUUAAAGAAUUUCGGUUAUCGAUGGGGAUGCGUUCCAUUAGUUUGUUGGCGGGGUAACGGCCCACCAAGACUACGAUGGAUAGGGGUUCUGAGAGGAAGGUCCCCCACAUUGGAACUGAGACACGGUCCAAACUCAUACGGGAGGCAGCAGUGAGGAAUAUUGGUCAAUGGACGAGAGUCUGAACCAGCCAAGUAGCGUGAAGGAUGACUGCCCUAUGGGUUGUAAACUUCUUUUAUAUGGGAAUAAAAGUAUUCCACGUGUGGGAUUUUGUAUGUACCAUAUGAAUAAGGAUCGGCUAACUCCGUGCCAGCAGCCGCGGUAAUACGGAGGAUCCGAGCGUUAUCCGGAUUUAUUGGGUUUAAAGGGAGCGUAGGUGGAUUGUUAAGUCAGUUGUGAAAGUUUGCGGCUCAACCGUAAAAUUGCAGUUGAAACUGGCAGUCUUGAGUACAGUAGAGGUGGGCGGAAUUCGUGGUGUAGCGGUGAAAUGCUUAGAUAUCACGAAGAACUCCGAUUGCGAAGGCAGCUCACUAGACUGCAACUGACACUGAUGCUCGAAAGUGUGGGUAUCAAACAGGAUUAGAUACCCUGGUAGUCCACACAGUAAACGAUGAAUACUCGCUGUUUGCGAUAUACAGUAAGCGGCCAAGCGAAAGCAUUAAGUAUUCCACCUGGGGAGUACGCCGGCAACGGUGAAACUCAAAGGAAUUGACGGGGGCCCGCACAAGCGGAGGAACAUGUGGUUUAAUUCGAUGAUACGCGAGGAACCUUACCCGGGCUUAAAUUGCAUUUGAAUAAUCUGGAAACAGGUUAGCCGCAAGGCAAAUGUGAAGGUGCUGCAUGGUUGUCGUCAGCUCGUGCCGUGAGGUGUCGGCUUAAGUGCCAUAACGAGCGCAACCCUUAUCUUUAGUUACUAACAGGUCAUGCUGAGGACUCUAGAGAGACUGCCGUCGUAAGAUGUGAGGAAGGUGGGGAUGACGUCAAAUCAGCACGGCCCUUACGUCCGGGGCUACACACGUGUUACAAUGGGGGGUACAGAAGGCAGCUACCUGGCGACAGGAUGCUAAUCCCAAAAACCUCUCUCAGUUCGGAUCGAAGUCUGCAACCCGACUUCGUGAAGCUGGAUUCGCUAGUAAUCGCGCAUCAGCCAUGGCGCGGUGAAUACGUUCCCGGGCCUUGUACACACCGCCCGUCAAGCCAUGAAAGCCGGGGGUACCUGAAGUACGUAACCGCAAGGAGCUCCUAGGAAAC